rnacentral:rRNA from 1 species
UACGAAGGGGGCUAGCGUUGCUCGGAAUCACUGGGCGUAAAGCGCACGUAGGCGGAUCUUUAAGUCGGGGGUGAAAUCCUGGAGCUCAACUCCAGAACUGCCUUCGAUACUGAGGAUCUUGAGUUCGGGAGAGGUGAGUGGAACUGCGAGUGUAGAGGUGAAAUUCGUAGAUAUUCGCAAGAACACCAGUGGCGAAGGCGGCUCACUGGCCCGAUACUGACGCUGAGGUGCGAAAGCGUGGGGAGCAAACAGG